GAUUAACGCUGGCGGCGUGCAUAACACAUGCAAGUCGAACGAUGAAACUUAAAUGAUUUCUUCGGAAUGAACUUAAGUGAAUUAGUGGCGGACGGGUGAGUAACGCGUGAGUAACCUGCCUUACACAAGGGGAUAGCCGUUGGAAACGACGAAUAAUACCCUAUGAAACUAUCACUUCGCAUGAAGCGAUAGUCAAAGUGUUAGCGGUGUAAGAUGGACUUGCGUCUGAUUAGCUAGUUGGUGAGAAAAAAGCCCACCAAGGCAACGAUCAGUAGCCGGCUUGAGAGAGUGUACGGCCACCUUGGGACUGAGACACGGCCCAGACUCCUACGGGAGGCAGCAGUGGGGAAUUUUGCACAAUGGGGGAAACCCGGAUGCAGCGACGCCGCGUGAUUUAGAAGGCCUUCGGGUUGUAAAAAUCUUUUGUAUAGGAAGAAAAUGACAGUACUAUACGAAUAAGGUCCGGCUAAUUACGUG
rnacentral:rRNA from 1 species